GGCAGAUGUCGUUAUUCACAGCAGGGUUGGGGUACUUGGGGUACCGCGCUAGGAAUUUGUGGCAUAGCAACCCCAAGCUCUUCUCCUUCCGACUCGGCUGGGAUUUCUCAAAUUCGUCUCCUGAUAAGUGUUCCUGCAGAGGGAAAGGGCAAAUUUUUGGUGAAUCUUUUGGAGAGGAAAAUAUGUUCAAAGAGAUACUGGACCACAAAAGAGAUCACAGGAUUUGCUUCAAAUCAACGGAAACGGCGAGAUCAUGAUGGCAACCUCAUGUCCCUGUCUCACUGCGAAAGAGACAGAACAUCCCACCUUGUGUAAAACAUGGCUUGGUUCUCUCAGCUUUGCCAAACAGGAGCGGCAUUCUACUAUCAACGUCGGCUUUGUACCUGGCACAAGUCUGUGGGGACAUACUAGAAAGGCUCUCAGGUGCUUAGGACUCUUUGGUCAACACUCAUAUGUUGAAACCCACGUGUUGGUUCUCAAACCAUAAAGACUGUGGCUCAUUACAAGGAAGUUUAAAAGUACUGAGCGAAAGGAAACCACACAAACACCAAAGAACAAAGCGAAACAAGACAAAAUUCUCCUGCCUGAAGUUUUCUCUGACUGUGUGUAUACAGAGUAUAUUUCUAAAAACAUAAGGAAUUAAAAGAAGAGGCUCCUGGAAAAGCCGUUAAAAUGUUCUCCAAAUAGCCAACUUCUAUAACUGCAGCCACAUUUGCAGCUCAAAGAUGCCCAAGCCCAUCAUGGUAGAAGAUGGCUGCAGGAGCUGAAGGCAGCUGGUCUUACUGCAUCUGCAGUUAGGAGGCAGAGAGAUGACUGGUACUCAGCUCACUUUCUUCUUUGUAUUCAGUCUUGGAACUCCAGCCUGUGGGCCGGUGUUGCCUGUAUUCUGGAUGAGUCCUCCCACCCUAGUUAAAGCUCUUUGGAAACACCCAA
rnacentral:lncRNA from 1 species